rnacentral:rRNA from 1 species
UACGAAGGGGGCUAGCGUUGCUCGGAAUCACUGGGCGUAAAGCGCACGUAGGCGGGCUCUUAAGUCGGUGGUGAAAUCCUGGAGCUCAACUCCAGAACUGCCUCCGAUACUGAGGGUCUUCGAGUUCGGGAGAGGUGAGUGGAACUGCGAGUGUAGAGGUGAAAUUCGUAGAUAUUCGCAAGAACACCAGUGGCGAAGGCGGCUCACUGGCCCGAUACUGACGCUGAGGUGCGAAAGCGUGGGGAGCAAACAGG